rnacentral:pre_miRNA from 1 species
UCUUAUGGAUGAGCAAAAAAAGUGGUCUCUUGAGAUGGAAUCUAUUCCUGGCGAAGACGCUGUGAA